UACGAAGGGGGCUAGCGUUGCUCGGAAUCACUGGGCGUAAAGGGCGCGUAGGCGGCUUGUCAAGUCACUUGUGAAAUCUCUGGGCUUAACCCAGAACGGCCAAGUGAAACUGUCAUGCUAGAGUGCAGAAGGGGCAAUCGGAAUUCUUGGUGUAGCGGUGAAAUGCGUAGAUAUCAAGAGGAACACCUGAGGUGAAGACGGGUUGCUGGGCUGACACUGACGCUGAGGCGCGAAAGCCAGGGGAGCAAACGGG
rnacentral:rRNA from 1 species